UGGGGAAUCUUGGACAAUGGGGGCAACCCUGAUCCAGCCAUGCCGCGUGGGUGAAGAAGGCCUUAGGGUUGUAAAGCCCUUUCAGUCGUGACGAUGAUGACGGUAGCGACAGAAGAAGCCCCGGCUAACUCCGUGCCAGCAGCCGCGGUAAUACGGAGGGGGCAAGCGUUGUUCGGAAUUACUGGGCGUAAAGCGCGCGUAGGCGGAUCUUUAAGUCAGGGGUGAAAUCCCGGGGCUCAACCUCGGAAUUGCCUCUGAUACUGGAGAUCUUGAGUUCGAGAGAGGUGAGUGGAACUCCGAGUGUAGAGGUGAAAUUCGUAGAUAUUCGGAAGAACACCAGUGGCGAAGGCGGCUCACUGGCUCGAUACUGACGCUGAGGUGCGAAAGCGUGGGGAGCAAACAGGAUUAGAUACCCCCGUAGUCC
rnacentral:rRNA from 1 species